UACGUAGGGUGCGAGCGUUGUCCGGAAUUAUUGGGCGUAAAGGGCUCGUAGGCGGUUUGCCGCGUCGGGAGUGAAAAUCCAGGGCUUAACUCUGGACUGGCUUCCGAUACGGGCAGACUAGAGGUAUGCAGGGGAGAACGGAAUUCCUGGUGUAGCGGUGAAAUGCGCAGAUAUCAGGAGGAACACCGGUGGCGAAGGCGGUUCUCUGGGCAUUACCUGACGCUGAGGAGCGAAAGUGUGGGGAGCGAACAGG
rnacentral:rRNA from 1 species